GAUGCCAUACCACUCUGAACACGUCCAACCUCGUCUGAUCUCGGAAGCUAAGCAGAGUCAGUUAGUACUUGGAUAGGAGACAAGACUGCUUUAAGGAGAAAGUAUCA
rnacentral:rRNA from 1 species